rnacentral:tRNA from 1 species
AGGGGUAUAGCUCAGUGGUAGAGCUCAUGCUUAGCAUGCACAAAGUCCUGGGUUCAAUCCCCAGUACUUCCA